GGUCGCGUAGCUCAAUUGGUUAGAGCGCCGCCCUGUCACGGCGGAGGUUGCGAGUUCGAGCCUCGUCGCGACCGCCA
rnacentral:tRNA from 1 species